GUCUUCUCUUUUUAUAAUUAGUUAAAAAUAUUAUUUAAAAAAUUAGUUUAAAAAUUAUAUGGUUUGAUAAUCAUGUAAAUAAUAAUAAUGAUGAUAAUAAAUAAAAACUGCACAUUUUAUUUAUCUAUUAUAACAUUUAUGUAGUUUUGUUCACUUGGCUGUUUUCUUUAUAAAGGUCCAGAAACUGCAGUUUUUCGUCAAGAGUCUUUUUUAAUUAUAAGGUAGUUCCCUCCGCGGUGGGCGGGGCUAACUCACAUGCAGCGAUCCUAUUGGUUGAGAGUGUGAUUGAUUGCUCGACACCUGCCAGAGAUCAGCAACAAACAAGAAUCAGCAGCAGCAGCUGAACACGCUUCAGUCAGAUCUGAACACGGUGAGCUCAUGCGCUUUAAGAGUGUGUAGAAAUCACUUUCAGCCUGUUUUUAGUCUUGUUUCUGGUUAUUGUUCGUCUGUUCGAGCUGCUUGAGAUUGUGUGUGUGUGUGUGUGUGUGUGUGUGUGUGUGUGUGUGUGUGUGUGUGUGUGUGUGUGUGUGUGGUUUGUUGUGAAAAUGAACCAUGGUUUUACUGCAGAACACCUUGUUAUUGUUCUUAAACUCUGGUAACCAAAGGUUUACUACACUAUAGAUUAAUCAUGAUAUUUGUAGAGCUUGUUCUACAAUUAUGAUUAUAAGAAGGCUUGGUUCUACUUCUGUGUAGAAGAAUAAGGGGGUCUGUUCAGGUUCGGAGCUGCCGGGGGUCACGAGGGUCUGCCGGGGGUCACGAGGGUCUGCCGGGGGUCACGAGGUAACCGCUGAACCCUCGCUGAACUCUGACCUUGUUCUGGACUCGGUGCUGCUGUGAUGCUCUGAGCUCUUGGACCGCUCUGAUUCUAAGCUCGGACCCGUUCUCUGGGAAGUGCUUUGACGGACGCUUGUUUAAACAGAACGAUCAUGCAGUGUGUGUAAGGUGUGUGUGUGUACAAUAAAAGGAUCAAACUGAUGUUUGUGUGCUGUUCAUGAAUCCCAGAUCUCCUCUGAUCCGAGUUCUCCAAACACUUCUGUUAGUUCUGAUCCAGUUCUUCUGUUCGAGUGAGGUUUGUGUUCAGGUUUGUGUGGAUGAGCUGUGGCUGAUGUGUAGUCUGAAGUUAAAACGGUCCAGUUUGUGUCCUGAACAGAAGCGUGUCUCAGAUAAAUGAGGCUUUAUCAGGACCGUCUGCAUCUGA
ensembl:lncRNA